rnacentral:tRNA from 1 species
GGAGAGAUGUCAGAGUGGUCGAAUGAGCCAGCUUGGAAAGCUGGUGUACUGGCAACGGUACCGAGGGUUCGAAUCCCUCUUUCUCCGCAA